GCCUGGGUGGCUCAGUCGGUUGAGCGUCUGACUUCGGCUCAGGUCACAAGCUCGCAGUUUGUGGGCUCAAUCCCCGCGUUGGGCU
rnacentral:tRNA from 1 species